rnacentral:misc_RNA from 1 species
UUAAGUUCGGCGGGUAGUCCUACCUGAUUUGAGGUCAGAUCACAAUACGGCGUCCGAAGACCAUUAGAAGCCGACCGCUUCGCACCCCGAUCGCAAGACGACGAAUACGGCACGAAUACCUUAUCACGCCGCCGUCAGACCGAGGCGUUAGAGCCGGCUGAUGCAUUUCAAGACGAGCGGACCGCUGGACGGGACCCGCA